rnacentral:rRNA from 1 species
UAGGGAAUCUUCCACAAUGGACGCAAGUCUGAUGGAGCAACGCCGCGUGAGUGAAGAAGGCUUUCGGGUCGUAAAACUCUGUUAUUGAAGAAGAACGUGUGUGACAGUAACUGGUCAUGCAGUGACGGUAUUCAAUCAGAAAGUCACGGCUAACUACGUGCCAGCAGCCGCGGUAAUACGUAGGUGGCAAGCGUUGUCCGGAUUUAUUGGGCGUAAAGCGAGUGCAGGCGGUCUUUUAAGUCUGAUGUGAAAGCCUUCGGCUUAACCGAAGAAGGGCAUCGGAAACUGGGAGACUUGAGUGCAGAAGAGGAGAGUGGAACUCCAUGUAUAGCGGUGAAAUGCGUAGAUAUAUGGAAGAACACCAGUGGCGAAGGCGGCUCUCUGGUCUGUAACUGACGCUGAGGCUCGAAAGCGUGGGUAGCAAACAGGAUUAGAUACCCUGGUAGUCCACGCUGUAAACGAUGAAUACUAAGUGUUGGAGGGUUUCCGCCUUCAGUGCUGCAGCUAACGCAU